UACGAAGGGGGCUAGCGUUGUUCGGAAUUACUGGGCGUAAAGCGCACGUAGGCGGCUUGGUAUGUCGGGUGUGAAAUCCCCGGGCUCAACCUGGGAACUGCAUCCGAAACUGCCUUGCUCGAGUAUGGGAGAGGGAAGUGGAAUUUCCGGUGUAGCGGUGAAAUGCGUAGAUAUCAGGAAGAACACCAAUGGCGAAAGCAGCUCUCUGGGACGGUACUGACGCUGAGACGCGAAAGCGUGGGGAGCGAACAGG
rnacentral:rRNA from 1 species